AGCGAACGCUGGCGGCAGGCUUAACACAUGCAAGUCGAGCGGGCACUUCGGUGUCAGCGGCAGACGGGUGAGUAACACGUGGGAACGUACCCUUCGGUUCGGAAUAACGCUGGGAAACUAGCGCUAAUACCGGAUACGCCCUUUUGGGGAAAGGUUUACUGCCGAAGGAUCGGCCCGCGUCUGAUUAGCUAGUUGGUGGGGUAAUGGCCUACCAAGGCGACGAUCAGUAGCUGGUCUGAGAGGAUGAUCAGCCACACUGGGACUGAGACACGGCCCAGACUCCUACGGGGGGCAGCAGUGGGGAAUAUUGGACAAUGGGCGCAAGCCUGAUCCAGCCAUGCCGCGUGAGUGAUGAAGGCCUUAGGGUUGUAAAGCUCUUUUGUCCGGGACGAUAAUGACGGUACCGGAAGAAUAAGCCCCGGCUAACUUCGUG
rnacentral:rRNA from 1 species